UUCGUAUAAGUGACUCAUUCGCGAAUGAAUCGAUUCAUUUGCUCAAUUUUUGAUGAAUCAUUCGUGAACGAAUUGAAUCAUUGUUGAUGAAUUAUUCGCGAACGAAUUGAUUCGUAUAAGUGACACAUUCGCGAACGAAUCGAUUCAUUUAUUCAAUUUUUGGUGAAUCAUUCACGAACGAAUCGAUUCGUAUAAGUAGCCCAUUCACGAACGAUUCGAUUCAUUUACUCAAUUUUUUAUGAAUCAUUCGCGAACGAAUUGAUUCACUUGCUCAAUUUUUGAUGAAUCAUUCGCGAACGAGUCAAUUCGUAUAAGUAAGUGACUCGUUCGAGAACGAAUCGAUUCAAUUAACUCAAUUUUUGGUGAUUCAUUCACGAACGAAUUGAAAUUAUUGUUUGUGAAUAAUUCACGAACGAAUUGAUUUGUAUAAAUGGCUCAUUCGCGAACGAAUUGAUUCAUAAAUUAAAGAAUUGAUCAAUUCGUUGGCGAGUGGUUCUUUCAAAAAUUGAUUAAUUCGUUUACGAAUGAGUCACCAAAAAUUGAGGGUCGUAUAAAAAUUACAAAAAACAAACCGAUAAUUUUGUUUCAGGCGGGUCUUACGACAAUUAAGUAAAAAUUAAAAAAUAUACCAAAAACUAAAAAAAUCAUAAAAAAGUGUAAAAAAAACUGCUUCAAAAUUAAAUAAUUGAAAAUUAUAGUUUUCGAGGAGAUAUUUUGGUGAUUUUUGCCCUCACGAGAAGUAUGGACGAUUUACCACCUUUCGGAGAAUUUACCAGCAAUAAAAAUGAAAUAGGAGGCUAUUUUUUUACUUGAAAUUUGAAAAUGACACAUUAUUCAUAAUUGGCCAUCUAUUUUCUUUUCUCAAUGCUUGAUUAAGCAAGAAAUUUAACGUGUCAGUUUCCAAAAAUUACAGAAUGACGUGACACCUUGAACAUUAUUUUUUCAGAUUUAUUGCAGCUCAAAUGUUAUGAUGACGAUAAAUUUCUCAGUUGAGUAACAUUAAAACGGUAGCUGGAAACUAAAUUUCUACCAGCUUUGGGUAAUAAAUUUUUAUAAAUGUACAUCGAGAAAUAUUUCGAAAGAAUAUCACCCAGGUACCUAUGCAUUAAAACUCGUAAUUUAUGAUUUUAGGUAAUGUGAUUUUUAACGAAUUUUAAAGCGACGGAAGUAACUGCUAACUGAAAUCCGUUGAAAAUCGUUUAUCUCUCCAAGUGGAUACACAUAAUAUAUUUUUUGUUAUUUAGAAAAAGAAUUGCUAGUUUGGUUUGUCCCCGAAUAAUCAGCGAGCCCGAGAUAACACACAAGUUUAAAGGGUUCUUUUCUUGGAAACGAAAAAUAUAAUAAAAUUCAUUUCCGCUGUAAAAUGUAGACAGAUAAACGUGCCCAUUCGAACAUGCAGCCUUUCAUCUCGCUUACAACAAGUGAUUGUAAAGCCGGCAGAAUUGGGCAAUAUUUUUGCAUAGAAAAGACAAUUAGCGAAGGGCGAACAAAAGAAACAGGUAGCUGGCAGUAAGAUACGAGCUCUAUUGUUCCCCACCCUUCGUUGGUAUCUGUGUGGUUGCUUACAUCCGUCAACAUUGAGCAAUCGCCUAGAGAUGAAACUGGUUUAACUGGUUAUUAAGAUAUAAGUACGUUUUCUACCAUCUAUGACAUUUCACUUCACAUCACUUAUGUUUUGAAAGUCCUUCUGCGCGGUAUGUUUUUUUUGCAUGUUCCUUAUUAUCCAUAAUAUACGUUGAUCGAAAGUUGGUUCAUUAAUUUAUUGAUUCCCGGUACCUGAAUUUGAUUCCUGGAUCAUUUAUUGAAAUUGCGGUUAUCUAAUACAUAUACCAUCCGAAUUCACUGAAAUGGCCACAAGUAAUCGAUCGGAUUUGCCUCUGCUGAGCCCAGUAUCGCUAAAAGAACUAUCAUCGAUCGCAAUGAGCCUAGCAAUCUGGCGCUGGCGUAUAGACAUACAUCGUAAGACCGAAACAUUGAGUCAAGUUAGGAUCCAAGAUCCGUUGACACUACAAGCCAUACUGAAGGCUAUGGGUAUGCUGCCACACUUACCAACCCUAGUACAAGAUCAAAUUACAUUUUGCAUGUCUAGGUUUGGCAAUUCGUUGUGCUCGUGGCUAUGUUAUCGACAUGGUGAGGUAUUUUAUUUGACUAGAAAGAAUCCAUUCGAAGUUUUAGAAGACUUCGAUGAUUUCGCGUGCACUCCUGGAGGCGUAAUCGAUUACAAAGCAACAUUCAAAAGAAUGAUUUCUUGCAAUAAAUUAAGGUCAUCUGAGAGGCUCGUAAUUGCGGUUUUAAGAACGUGCGUUUCCGAGGAAAUUCUCCGUCCUUUGUGGAUCGCUACGCAGAAAGAAAACAUCGACAAACAACAACUCGAUAUCGCUCUUUACAACUGGCGUCCGAAGUUUGACUGCCAAGGUUCGCAAAAACGUGUUUUGAGAUCGGCGAAACAGGGUUCGGAAAAACGUGUCAGAUAUCAUAAGUAUUUUUAGACUUGAAAUUUAUCUCAGCAAGUACCUACCUACUUGAUUAUAAGUUUUGAGUAUAAGUUGUAGUAUUUUGAUGUGUUGUUCGUUUAUUUUGUUUUGUUUUUUGUUUUAUUAAUUUUUAGCUUGUUUGUAAUUUGUAAAUAUGUAAUGACAAAUAGUUCAACAUGAUUAUUCCACGUACUAAUAA